AAGUCGUAACAAGGUUUCCGUAGGUGAACCUGCGGAAGGAUCAUUAUUGAAUAAAUCUGGCGUUAGGUUGUAGCUGGCUCUCCGGAGCAUGUGCACACCUCGUCACCUUUAUCUUUCCACCUGUGCACACACUGUAGUCCUGGAUACCUCUCGCUGAAAGGCGGAUGCGGAGCCUGCUGUGACUUUGGAAACAAAGGCCAGCUUGCUCUGAAUUUCCAGGUCUACGAUUUUGAUACACCCCUAAACGAAUGUUAUAGAAUGUAUAUCACUGGGCCUUUGUGCCUAUAAACCUUAUACAACUUUCAACAACGGAUCUCUUGGCUCUC
rnacentral:misc_RNA from 1 species